CCAGAGCCAAGAAAGGCUCUCAUGUUCAAACCCUAAAACUACAAAAAUUCACCAAAUUGAAAGGGGAAAUCAAGCCCAAAUAGAAAACCAAGCACAAAUUAGUGAUCACCUCCGUAAAGGGAUCAUAAGGCAAGGAAACCGGGACGUCAAGCGGACAAGCCGGUGGUGAUACACGUUUGAAGGGAGCGCUUUAAAGGUGAUGCUCGUUUGUUGUGGAUGUUGAUCAAGCAAGGGAAUCAAGAACCGAACACAAUUUUUGAAUGCUUCCGCGCU